rnacentral:rRNA from 1 species
GACGAACGCUGGCGGCGUGCUUAACACAUGCAAGUCGAACGGAAAGGCCCUGCUUUUGUGGGGUGCUCGAGUGGCGAACGGGUGAGUAACACGUGAGUAACCUGCCCUUGACUUUGGGAUAACUUCAGGAAACUGGGGCUAAUACCGGAUAGGAGCUCCUGCUGCAUGGUGGGGGUUGGAAAGUUUCGGCGGUUGGGGAUGGACUCGCGGCUUAUCAGCUUGUUGGUGGGGUAGUGGCUUACCAAGGCUUUGACGGGUAGCCGGCCUGAGAGGGUGACCGGCCGCAUUGGGACAGAGAUACGGCCCAGACUCCUACGGGAGGCAGCAGUGGGGAAUAUUGCACAAUGGGCGGAAGCCUGAUGCAGCAACGCCGCGUGCGGGAUGACGGCCUUCGGGUUGUAAACCGCUUUCGCCUGUGACGAAGCGUGAGUGACGGUAAUGGGUAAAGAAGCACCGGCUAACUACGUGCCAGCAGCCGCGGUGAUACGUAGGGUGCGAGCGUUGUCCGGAUUUAUUGGGCGUAAAGGGCUCGUAGGUGGUUGAUCGCGUCGGAAGUGUAAUCUUGGGGCUUAACCCUGAGCGUGCUUUCGAUACGGGUUGACUUGAGGAAGGUAGGGGAGAAUGGAAUUCCUGGUGGAGCGGUGGAAUGCGCAGAUAUCAGGAGGAACACCAGUGGCGAAGGCGGUUCUCUGGGCCUUUCCUGACGCUGAGGGGCGAAAGCGUGGGGAGCGAACAGGCUUAGAUACCCUGGUAGUCCACGCUGUAAACGGUGGGUACUAGGUGUGGGGUCCAUUCCACGGGUUCCGUGCCGUAGCUAACGCUUUAAGUACCCCGCCUGGGGAGUACGGCCGCAAGGCUAAAACUCAAAGGAAUUGACGGGGCCCCGCACAAGCGGCGGAGCAUGCGGAUUAAUUCGAUGCAACGCGUAGAACCUUACCUGGGUUUGACAUGGAUCGGGAGUGCUCAGAGAUGGGUGUGCCUCUUUUGGGGUCGGUCCACAGGUGGUGCAUGGCUGUCGUCAGCUCGUGUCGUGAGAUGUUGGGUUAAGUCCCGCAACGAGCGCAACCCUUGUUCACUGUUGCCAGCACGUUAUGGUGGGGACUCAGUGGAGACCGCCGGGGUCAACUCGGAGGAAGGUGGGGAUGACGUCAAGUCAUCAUGCCCCUUAUGUCCAGGGCUUCACGCAUGCUACAAUGGCUGGUACAGAGAGUGGCGAGCCUGUGAGGGUGAGCGAAUCUCGGAAAGCCGGUCUCAGUUCGGAUUGGGGUCUGCAACUCGACCUCAUGAAGUCGGAGUCGCUAGUAAUCGCAGAUCAGCAACGCUGCGGUGAAUACGUUCCCGGGGCU